UGCAAGUCGAACGAGUUCUGAUUAUUGAAAGGUGCUUGCAUCUUGAUUUAAUUUUGAACGAGUGGCGGACGGGUGAGUAACACGUGGGUAACCUGCCCUUAAGUGGGGGAUAACAUUUGGAAACAGAUGCUAAUACCGCAUAAAUCCAAGAACCGCAUGGUUCUUGGCUGAAAGAUGGCGUAAGCUAUCGCUUUUGGAUGGACCCGCGGCGUAUUAGCUAGUUGGUGAGGUAACGGCUCACCAAGGCAAUGAUACGUAGCCGAACUGAGAGGUUGAUCGGCCACAUUGGGACUGAGACACGGCCCAAACUCCUACGGGAGGCAGCAGUAGGGAAUCUUCCACAAUGGACGCAAGUCUGAUGGAGCAACGCCGCGUGAGUGAAGAAGGCUUUCGGGUCGUAAAACUCUGUUGUUGGAGAAGAAUGGUCGGCAGAGUAACUGUUGUCGGCGUGACGGUAUCCAACCAGAAAGCCACGGCUAACUACGUGCCAGCAGCCGCGGUAAUACGUAGGUGGCAAGCGUUAUCCGGAUUUAUUGGGCGUAAAGCGAGCGCAGGCGGUUUUUUAAGUCUGAUGUGAAAGCCCUCGGCUUAACCGAGGAAGUGCAUCGGAAACUGGGAAACUUGAGUGCAGAAGAGGACAGUGGAACUCCAUGUGUAGCGGUGAAAUGCGUAGAUAUAUGGAAGAACACCAGUGGCGAAGGCGGCUGUCUGGUCUGUAACUGACGCUGAGGCUCGAAAGCAUGGGUAGCGAACAGGAUUAGAUACCCUGGUAGUCCAUGCCGUAAACGAUGAAUGCUAGGUGUUGGAGGGUUUCCGCCCUUCAGUGCCGCAGCUAACGCAUUAAGCAUUCCGCCUGGGGAGUACGACCGCAAGGUUGAAACUCAAAGGAAUUGACGGGGGCCCGCACAAGCGGUGGAGCAUGUGGUUUAAUUCGAAGCAACGCGAAGAACCUUACCAGGUCUUGACAUCUUUUGAUCACCUGAGAGAUCAGGUUUCCCCUUCGGGGGCAAAAUGACAGGUGGUGCAUGGUUGUCGUCAGCUCGUGUCGUGAGAUGUUGGGUUAAGUCCCGCAACGAGCGCAACCCUUAUGACUAGUUGCCAGCAUUUAGUUGGGCACUCUAGUAAGACUGCCGGUGACAAACCGGAGGAAGGUGGGGAUGACGUCAAAUCAUCAUGCCCCUUAUGACCUGGGCUACACACGUGCUACAAUGGAUGGUACAACGAGUUGCGAGACCGCGAGGUCAAGCUAAUCUCUUAAAGCCAUUCUCAGUUCGGACUGUAGGCUGCAACUCGCCUACACGAAGUCGGAAUCGCUAGUAAUCGCGGAUCAGCACGCCGCGGUGAAUACGUUCCCGGGCCUUGUACACACCGCCCGUCACACCAUGAGAGUUUGUAACACCCGAAGCCGGUGGCGUAACCCUUUUAGGGAGCGAGCCGUCUA
rnacentral:rRNA from 1 species